rnacentral:rRNA from 1 species
UACGUAGGGUGCGAGCGUUGUCCGGAAUUAUUGGGCGUAAAGAGCUCGUAGGCGGUCUGUCGCGUCGGAUGUGAAAGCCCGGGGCUUAACCCCGGGUCUGCAUUCGAUACGGGCAGACUAGAGUUCGGUAGGGGAGAUCGGAAUUCCUGGUGUAGCGGUGAAAUGCGCAGAUAUCAGGAGGAACACCGGUGGCGAAGGCGGAUCUCUGGGCCGAUACUGACGCUGAGGAGCGAAAGCGUGGGGAGCGAACAGG